CACCCAUGACAAUGGGCCAAGAGACACCUUGUUGACGGUGGUGUUUUUAUAUCAGUCAGGGGAGAGUAGGUAACAGUCCUUUGUUCAUCCUAGCUUGAUGCCUGGCUUGGUGGCCAAAGCUGUCUUAUGCCUAGGAUGCAUAA